rnacentral:rRNA from 1 species
UACGGGGGGGGCAAGCGUUGUUCGGAAUUACUGGGCGUAAAGGGCUCGUAGGCGGCCAACUAAGUCGGACGUGAAAUCCCUCGGCUUAACCGAGGAACUGCGUCCGAUACUGGAUGGCUUGAGUUUGGGAGAGGGAUGCGGAAUUCCAGGUGUAGCGGUGAAAUGCGUAGAUAUCUGGAGGAACACCGGUGGCGCAGGCGGCAUCCUGGACCAACACUGACGCUGAGUGAGCGAAAGCCAGGGGAGCAAACGGG